GUAAGGAACCCCACGCUUAAAAGCGGAGGCUUUUGGGAAGUCCGGCUCGUUCCGAGCGGUGCAAGAAGAAAGCCCGAACCUUACCAGAGACAGGAUUAGACCUACGUUUUUUGAGUCAUGAUACCGGAGAAUGCGACGCUAGUUUUCCGCUCUAUC
rnacentral:sRNA from 17 species